AGCGAACGCUGGCGGCAGGCCUAACACAUGCAAGUCGAACGAAGUCUUCGGACUUAGUGGCGGACGGGUGAGUAACACGUGGGAACGUGCCUUUAGGUUCGGAAUAACUCAGGGAAACUUGUGCUAAUACCGAAUGUGCCCUUCGGGGGAAAGAUUUAUCGCCUUUAGAGCGGCCCGCGUCUGAUUAGCUAGUUGGUGAGGUAAAGGCUCACCAAGGCGACGAUCAGUAGCCGGUCUGAGAGGAUGAUCAGCCACAUUGGGACUGAGACACGGCCCAAACUCCCACGGGAGGCAGCAGUGGGGAAUCUUGCGCAAUGGGCGAAAGCCUGACGCAGCCAUGCCGCGUGGAUGAUGAAGGUCUUAGGAUUGUAAAAUUCUUUCACCGGGGACGAUAAUGACGGUACCCGGAGAAGAAGCCCCGGCUAACUUCGUGCCAGCCGCCGCGGUAAAAC
rnacentral:rRNA from 1 species